CUUAGAGUGAACUCCAGCUUGUUGCUUGCAGCCAUUCAUUCAGGAAGUCUACUCUUUAAAUAUGAUGCCAGUGAGCUUCUGAACCAAGAAACUAGCUCCCACAAAGCAGAAUGCUGAUGAAGUUAGAAGGGACCUUUUAACUCUUAAAAGUGUUAGAGUCAAAAGCAGUAGGCUAAAACCAGGCCAAAGCUGAAGCAGUCAAUAGCUACAGUGACCAUUCUGCAGUGGUUUUGGUCCCUUGGACACAUCCGAGUUCAGCCACCAGUCUAAAGAUUCCUACAGAGCAAAGCCAGCACCAGUAAAACAUAUUGCUAUCUUAAGCUGCAUCCCUAGCAAAUAUGUUAUACAUUAACCUACUGUGUCUGUCCUAGAGGUUAUCUCCUACUAGCCUGAAACCAAAGGACAUGAAGCAAUGAAAGAGGUGUGUCCUCAUUUUGUCUGUCUUGGACUUGCACAAUCAAAAGCAGGGGACUGGCUCAGACAGGCGUGAAGGCUGUCACUCCACUGGUUUUGAGUGUAAGAGAAGGGAAAACGGAGCCAGGUGCAGAGGAAAGUAAAGAGACAGACAAUCCCUCAAAUGCAUUUUAAAGAGUUUAGAUGCUAUCUUUUUGGUGACAAGGAAGAUGUUAUCAAUUGUGUUUUCCAGAAUUAUGUGACUAUCUGUUCCAUACACCACCACGGAGCUUCAACAGCAUCCCAUGAAAAUAAAUCCUAAAGGAACUUUAGGACAAGAUAUUUUCAUCCAAUAUCACCUGUAAGGAGGGUUUCUUCAAGCCAGCUGUCAGGUAAAGUCCAUUGCAAGAGACACAGCCUAAAUAUUCCGAGACUCUAACUGGCCAUAGUGAGAGGGUGAAUUCUGCCUGCUCUGUCAAAAACAGAAGGGCAUGCAAAAAUACACUUACAAAAUGUCAUCUCCUUUGAAGAGAUGCUCCUGUAACCUUAUCAGAGAUGACCAGCUAGUGUAUGAUGGCAUUGAUAUACUGAACAGCAGGAAAAGAGUAUAUACCUGUGAGAUUCAUGAGAAUUCAGAAAAUAGCAAGUGAGGAAGAGGCAUAACUAAAAGACAGUGGCCAAAGAAACCAGUAUUUGAAUUCUGUGAAAUAACACUCAGACUGUGAUGAAUUUGUCUCAUUCUUUCUACAUGCUAGCAAAUGCUCUGGAAGAAAUCAAGUCCAAGGAAACAGGGUUUGUGGCAGUUGUUAAAGAUGUGCUCUUUUUUGCCUACCUACAAAUCUGUUCCCCGGAAGUUAGAGAUUAACUAAACAUAGGAUUUCUAAGUGUUCUUCUGAGGUAAAGUGAGAUCAUAUUUGAAAAGUCACGGCAGUCUGGUGAAGUUUGCACAGGUUGGAAAAGGGGAAACAUAACUCCCAUUUUCAAGAAGGGGAAAAAAAGGAAAGAUCCAGGAAACUACAGGCCAGUUAGUCUCACCUCUGUUCCUGGCAAGAUCAUGGAGCAGAUCCUCCUGAAGAUCUUACUAAGGUAAAUGGAAAAUAACAGUGAGGUGAUCAGAGGAAACCAACAUGGCCCCACCAAGGGCAAGUCUUCCCUGACGAACUUGGUGGCCUUUUAUGACAGAGUUACAGCAUCAGUGAAUAACAGAAGAGCAACUGGCAUCAUCUACCUAGAUUUGUGCAAAGUGUUUGACACUGUCCCACAUGACAUCCUGGUUGUCAAAUCGGAGAAGAAAUUGAUUUGAUGGAUGAGCCACUUGUUGGAUGAGGAAUUGGCUGGAUGGUCACACUCAGAGAGUUGCAAUCAACAGCUCAAUGUCUAAGUGGAGACCGGUGACAAGUGGCAUUCCUCAGGGAUCGGUGCUGGGACCAGUAUUAUUUAACAUCUUUGUAGGCAAUGUGGACAAUGGGAUCGAGUGCACCCUCAGCAAAUCUGCAGAUGAUACCAAGCUGAGUGCUGCAGUUGACAUGCUAGAGGGAAGGUAUGCUCUUCAAAGGGACCUGGACAAACUCGAGAGGUGGGCUCAUGCCAAUCUCAUGAAGUUCAACAAGACCAAGUGCAAGGUCCUGCACCUGGGUUAGGGCAAUCCCAAGCACAGAUACAGGCUGGGUGGAGAAUGGCUCGAGAGCAGCCCUGAGGAGAAGGAUUUGGGAGUGUCAAUUGAUGAAAGAAAACAUGAGCCAGCAAUGUGCACUUGCAGCCCAAAGGCCAACCAUAUCCUGGGUUGCAUUAAGAGAAGUGUGACCAGCAGGUUGAGGGAGGUUAUUCUGCCCCUCUGCUCUCACGAGACCCCACCCUGGGUAUUGCAUCCAGUUCUUGGCCCCCCACCACAAGAAGGACACGGAGCUGUUGGAGCAGGUCCAGAAGAGGGCCACGAAGAUGAUCAGAGGGCUGGAGCACCUCAGCGGUGGGGAUAGGCUGAGAGAACUGGGGUUCUUCAGCCCAGAGAAGAGAAGGUUCCGGCAGGACCUGAUAGUGGCCUGCCAGUACCUGAAAGGAGCCCAUGAGAAAGAUGGGGAGGGACUUUUUAUAAGGGCAUGUAGGGAUAGGAUGAGGGAAAAUGUUGUUAAACUGGAAGAAGGUAGAUUUAGACUAGAUAAUAGAAAUAAAUUCUUUACUGUCAGGGUGGUGAGACAUUGGAACAGGUUAUCCAGUGAGGUUGUGGAUGCUGUGAGCAACCUGGUCUAGUGGGAGGCAUCUCUGCCUACAGCAGAGGGGUUGGAACUAGAUGAUCUUAAAGGUCCCUUCCAACCCAAAACAUUUUGUGAUUCUAUUUUAGCAAUGAAAUAAAAUAUUCCAUUAUUAAAUAAGUAUCUUUUAAAAAUCAGAAUGCUGGUGUGAAAACUCCAAACUUAAUCUGCUUACCUUUGCAGAAGACAGUGGUACUUUGUGCAUAAAGUAACCAUAUGCAGUCACAUUAGAAAUAGAAAAGAUUUUGGAAAUAUGUGAAAUACAUUUCUCCUCUGUAAGUUUAAAAGGUCUGCUUCUUUGAACAGUGUUACCUUCUACAAUAAGCAAUUAUGUUAAUCAAUGUAUUUUAUUAUUAAUUUAGGGGAUGAUAUUAACAAAUAAAAAGUUCAACC
rnacentral:lncRNA from 1 species